AAGCGGCGAGCAGGCGCUUACCUGAGGUUCGCCCAAGCUUGGGGCGGUGGGGCCCGGGAGGGAAGAGGGAAGUGGGUCGGGCUCCCGGUCUGUGUUCAUCCAUUCAUUCAUUCGUUGAGGCACGAAUUAAUGUAAUAGCCACUCAUUCGUUCAAGAACUGCUGAUUCACCACUCACCAGGUGCCAGGGAGAAGGACAAAAUGCACCAAAAAGUGCCGGAAGCAGUAAUGUCCACGUGUGAUACUUGCCUUGGAGCAAGUAAACAGGGAACAGGGCCAUCUGACUCCGGGGUUGGGCUGCUCUAGGGGUUUGGUGAUAUUCUUAGCUGCCUAUGACCGUCCAUUAGUACUGCCCUGUGCAGGGCAGAUAAUGUUCACUCCCUUCCCAGUAGUUUUUAUAUUGAAGAAAAAUAUAUCAGAGAAUCAAAUAAUACAAUCUUAUGUACUUAAAAAAAGUUAAUGUAUAUCUGUCUACUCCAAGAUCAGUAAACACAGUUUCACAUUUUAUGUUCUCACCUAGUUAUAGCACCCUCUUUCUGUUCUCAACUCCCUUGAAGAAUUGCUACUUGUCAGUAUUUCUGUUAGUUGUCAGUAUCCAUUAGGAUCUGUAUUUUUGCCAUUGUAAAUAUCAACAGUUCUGAGUUACUAAAAAAUUGCAAGUGGUAGUUCUGGAGGUUCUAUACAUUGCCAUAGAAGAGCAUUCCAUUGGGUAUUUAAGGAACUGUUGGAGGAAACACAUUGAGGAAACACAUUAAAGAUCAGUUAGGGAUGGUCAGAAGUCGCUUGACUUUUUGAGGGACGUUGAUAAUAUCCUUAUAGCCUAGGAGGAAAAGAGCCACUAUUGUACGAAGCAGCACAGCAGGAAGAUUUUAUGGCUGCAGUGGUGUUAUGACUUGCUGGGGUUAGAGGAGGACAAAUACUGAUGACAAAAUACAAGCUCUGACUCAGAAAUUGGGAUGAUUUCUCUGUGGAUCCUAUAAGGAGCCUGGAGAUGGUGAAGAGAAUGCCUUGACCAUCAGGAGACAGCUUACCUUAUUGAAUCUUGAUCACUUCUUCUGACCACUUUGGAUAUUAAAAGAACAAGUCAGCAGACACAGAAGGACAGACCCUGGGUAAAGCACAGGACAUCCAGAGACCAACAAACCACAGUUCCUGCCUCAUCCAGCUCACAAUGUCCCGAGGAAAGCAGGUAAACACACACUUACAUGGAGAAAUGAGGAAAGCUUUGAUGGUAGGGAACAAAAUGAGACAGACAGGGUAGACUUCUCCAGGGUGGACAAGAAGGUCUUUAAAGAGCUGACAUUUGUGUUACGUCCUCAGAAAUGGGCAGGGGUUAACUGAGCACAGAAAAGGAGGAGCCUUUGUUAAGGUGCCGGGAACUAUGUAUGCAAAUGUGUUGAACAGGGAAGAAAACAUUUCUGAUGCCCAAUGCGACAAUUGAGACUUGUCAUGUCAUAUGAAUACUCUCGUUCGAGGAAGUGAUGUCUGGUGCCACAGCAGCCACCUCGUGAUGGUGAGGCUAUUCAGCUAGUAUUUGAGUCAACACCUUUGGACUGUUUGGUGGAAUAUUACAUAUCCUUAGGAUUUAAGCCAUGCUUUUGUUUUAGUUACUUUCAGAUCAAAAGAUAUUAACUGAUACAGCUAUGAUAAGAAAUACAGUGUUUACAAGCUAAGAAAGGCAUCAAAUGUUGUUUUAUGCAGUUUGUUGUCUGUAGACAUGACCCUGUCCAUAAUGGGUAGAUGUGUGUGUGCACGUGCAUGAAUUUGCCUGUGUGAAUUUUUACAACAUUACACACUCCAGUUGUGUCCCAUCUUACUAGUCUAAAUAAAUACCAGUCAAAAUGGAGGGACAGGUGCAGGUACCUCUUCAUGCCAUACCACCUCCCCGGACACAAACCUCGUGAACAAUUACCUCCAGAACAAACCACACUCACCCACUUGUUCACAAGGAGGAUGCCAACUCUCUUCAUACCUGCCGCACGGCUUUGGAAAAAAAUUUAAAGUUCAUCCUUAUUUAUAAAGUUAAUACCUAUAAUGAAAAGGUUUCUCUUUGAUGUGGGAGUGCUUUCGAAGUCUCAGUGACCUAUAUUGCCAAUGUACUCUGUGUAUGAGGUGAGGCAGGGACCGGCUGGGGAAUUACCCAUGUUUAAUGAAGACUAAAAUUAGAAUUUGACUGAAAUCCACAGAAAUGGCUCGACAGCAAGUU